UGAGUUGAGGGUUUCCAAAGAUCUAAAAUCAGCAGCUGCUAACUCGACAUGUGACUCAGAGUAAACCACUUUCCUGGUAGGUCUCACUUUGCCCAAAAAUGUAAUAAGAGGAUCUCUUGGGACUCUUGGCUUGAAUACUGUUGGGUUGUGAGUAAGCUGGACUCAUUUCAGGACUCUGAGCAGAGUUCUCAGGUCUGUAAGCCAAGCCACUUCUGUUUCUCUUUGGGUUGCUAUAAAGUACAGACGAUUCUACCAACCUUGACACAAAUGCCCAGCUGCCCCCAGUUCAGUGCCACAGAGAGAAGCCUUGCAGAACAGGUUGAGUUUGUGGAUGGGCAUGCGGUAGACGGUAUCAUCUCUUCUCUAUCAAUGACUUGGGGGAUACUUCUGGCAACAAAACAGACAGUUCUCGGCCUCUGUGUUUUCAUUUGUCCAACUGAAGAUUAGACAAGAGGCAGCAUGGGGUGGUGGAUAAAUCGUGGACCAGGGUUGAAGCGAAGAUCUGCUCAUCUGGGACACUCACCAGGUAAGUGAGAUUGAGAAGGGGACUCCUCUUGGAUCUUAGUUUCUUCACUGACUAGCAGGCAUUGCAAGACCAGUUUUCCAAGGCUGCUGAGAGUCUUUCAGUUGACUCUCAGCAAACAUGCUGUGAACUAGGUAAGUGGCAUCAUCCUUAUUUAUAGACUAGGCAACCAAGGCUUAGCAGGUUAAGUAAUAGUCCCAAUGUCACUCAGUUAGAAAGUGAUGGUGUUGGGAUACGCACUCAGUCUUUCUAGCCUUGAAGCACAUGUGUUUUCUAGUAUACCUCACUGGUCCCCAAAACUCAAUCCAAUAUUGAGCUGAGUAAAUUUUCUCGUCUGUCAGCUGUAUGGAGUAAUUCCCCCUGAGCUUACUUACAGUCAACCUUCAGUGUGAACCAGAGACUGCUGCCUCCCCAGCAGCUCUCAUUGGCAGCUCUCCGGUGAUGCACAUAUGCAGAC
rnacentral:lncRNA from 1 species